rnacentral:lncRNA from 1 species
AGUGCGACAGACAGCCUCAGAGCUGGUGGGGAGACAGCAUGCCACUGGAAAAAUUCGUAGACAUGGAAUUCCUGGAUCAAAUGGUAUGAAACAAUUUAAGGUUUCUUCCCCCCAACACCUAUCACCUAAUUUAUUUAUUAUAUGUGGUAUAAACAUUAUUUUCCAGCCAUUGUUUUCCUAUUAAUUUUUACCAUUUAUGGUGGUGAUUUUUUGAUAUUUUACAGUUUUACAUGUUAGAUUUCCAUAUCUGACCAUUUUAAGUGUUGUGAUUUUUUUCUUUCCUUUGAUUAGUGUAUUCACCUGUAUUUUUUUCUAGUUAUUUAAUUGCUUCAUUUUUUACAAUUAACUCCUUAAUCCACCUAGAAUUCAUUUUGAUAUAUGGUAUACAGUAGGAUUUAAUUUUUUUUCCCCCUAAUAGGUCACCGAUUGUUUCAGCAUCACUUAUUGAAUAAUCCAACGCAACAACUGUUCUUCCAUUAGAUAGGGUGUAGCUUUCCACAGGUCGGCCAUUUUCUCUUUACCCAAGAUGGUUACAUUUUGCAAUGGUACUCCUACCUUCCUGCAGCUUCUGACAGCAUACUAGAGCACCAUGUUUGUGCUUGUGCGUUUCAAAAAUCCUAGGCACAUGCAGAUUAGGGCAGUAUUUUAAACAGGAUUUUUUUUUUCAUUUUAAAUAUGUUAAGUUUGUCACAUUCUUGUUGCAAAUUAAAAUUAAGGAAUCCAAAUAUAUGAAACCACGGUUUCAGGUG